UACGAAGGGUGCAAGCGUUACUCGGAAUUACUGGGCGUAAAGCGUGCGUAGGUGGUUUCUUAAGUCUGCUGUGAAAGCCCCGGGCUCAACCUGGGAAUUGCAGUGGAUACUGGGGAGCUAGAGUGCGGUAGAGGGUAGUGGAAUUCCCGGUGUAGCGGUGAAAUGCGUAGAGAUCGGGAGGAACACCAGUGGCGAAGGCGAUCAUCUGGGGUUGUUCUGACACUGAGGAGCGAAAGCUAGGGGAGCAAACGGG
rnacentral:rRNA from 1 species